AUGUCUCUCUAAUUCUUAUUAUCUUCUUUUUUCUUUCUUUUUUUCUUUUUUCUUCUUAUUUUCUUCUCUCCCAGCAUCGAGUUCUCCUCCCCAUUUUUUCUUCUCAUCUGAGUUCUGACCCAAGACAAGACCUCCAAAUCAAACAACGUUUCUAUCAAUUAAAUUCGUUCUUCUAAACCCUAGACUCGUGAAUCAAAACUACUCCUGAAAUUAAACCUAACAUUUCAAUAAACAAAUCCUAGAAAUCUUUUUUUAGUUAAGUUGAAUGAUUAUGUACCUCCUAAUCAAGACAAGUUUUCAUAAAUCAAAACCAAUUCUCUUAAAUCCUAGUCCCGUGAAUCAAACCACUCCGGAAAUCAAACCUAAUAUUUCAAUAGACAAACCUAGAAAUCGUGUUUUUUUUUUUUUUUUUAUAUAUAUGUUGAAUGAUUUGUAAGGUGUGCUUGGAUCUAUCCUGAAGUUUUUUUCUCUAGUGAUGAACUAAUGAAUCAUGUAUGAUGAAGAUAGUUUAUGGUGAUUUAUUUCCUGAUUCAUAACAACAUCGUGCUCUCCCAGUUUGAGCUCUUGGGGCUUUGCUUUGAUCUUCAAUUUCUUGGUUUUAAGGGCGGAGAAGAAGGGAUUUCUUGGUAUUGUUUCAUUAUUGCUCAUAAGGUCCUAAAUUUCCUACAACCGCAACCUUGGGUUGUGUAUUCCGUUCACAGUUUGAUUGGUGUUUCAAUUGGUCGUCUUUGAGCGCUUAACUAUCUACAACCGCAACCUUUUUAUGUCAUCUUUGAGCGUUUAACUAUCUAAGCUACCCAAUCAAAGUUCUCUUUACGAUGUGCUGAAUUUCUUCUCACAGGAAGUUAACGAGUGUGUUAUUUCUUUCAUAGGCCGUAGCUUGUACCAUGUUUAAUUUUUCCACUAUUAUAGCUUUUAUCAUGUUCUUUUUUUUUUUUUGAGUUUGCACCGCUUACUGUAGUCUUUGUCCUGUGGCUCCUGUCUUAUAGUACAACAUUUAACUUCAGAAUGCAGGUCAUAUUACUUAGUAAUUUGAUGUUUCUUAUGUAUAUGAUGUGCUGGUCAGACAUCUGUAGUUUUGUACCUUGGUCUUAGAGGCCCAAAUGGUGCUGCAUCGGGGGCAGGCAUCUUCUUGAUAUCCAAGGGUUUGUUGUUGCUCAAGUGCUCUCUCUUUCUCUUCUCGUGUCUCUCUUGCACACGUAAUUAUUGAACAAUAAUUGAAUUUCUAGCCGCAUCUCAUUAUGAUAACAUCUAGGCUUAUUUUUCUCUGCAACAAUAAUCGGGGCCAUGGUUUCUUUGAUAAACUUAUCAGGUUCAUUUUCUUCUUUCUUUCAUGGAAGGGUAAUCCAACUUUGGUAAUUCAUUGUAUACAGAUUAUACCCAUAAAGUGGACUUUCCACAAGGUUCUGCUAACACUCCUACUCAAAAGAGCUCUCAUUGUCAUACCAUUUCUGAUGAAAAUGAAAAGUUCACAUCUAAUUCUAUACUUGGGGUAAUUUUUCAUAAGGUAUUGUUGGAGUGGCAGCAAUUGCAGUACAAUUACUUGUGGAGCAUUGAAGGAUUGCAGUUCUAUUCCAUGCUAACCGGAAGAGUGUAAGGACCUACGCCAGCGUGUGAAAGAUAGUCAGAUGAAGAGGCUCACUUCUUUGUAUGUUGAAGGGAAGGCUAGACAUCUGCACCAGGAUAUCACAUGUGAUGUAAGCUUUCUUGACCCUUGGUAAAAAAUUUGAAGUAUGGUGGUAAGUUUCUUCAUUUUGGUUUGUGCCCAUCCAGUUGUCAAGACUCAAUUGUGUGAGGUUUCCUUUUUUCUUGAUAAGAUGGGACAGUAGUAUACUAGAGGAUUCCUAAAUUGAACGGCAGAAUCCAAAUAAAAAUGUAAAAGAAAAACCUGUUGUACAGGAGUAUCAUUUUAAAUUCAAAGAAGUUUUGUAAUAGGUCUUUAACUGUUGAUGCAUAAAAUCCGUUUGCGGAUGUAUCUACUUUUAAAUUUCUCAUAUAUAGCAGCGCAUUGUAGAUUUUAACGUUUUCUUGAAACUUUUAUUUUGUAUUGCCUAUGCUAUUC